rnacentral:rRNA from 1 species
GACGAACGCUGGCGGCGUGCUUAACACAUGCAAGUCGAACGGAAAGGCCCUGCUUUUGUGGGGUGCUCGAGUGGCGAACGGGUGAGUAACACGUGAGUAACCUGCCCUUGACUUUGGGAUAACUUCAGGAAACUGGGGCUAAUACCGGCUAGGAGCUCCUGCUGCAUGGUGGGGGUCGGAAAGCUUCGGCGGAUGGGGAUGGACGGGCGGUUUAUCAGCUUGUUGGUGGGGUAGUGGCAUACCAAGGCUUUGACGGGUAGCCGGCCUGAGAGGGUGGCCGGCGACAUUGCGACUGAGGGACGGACCAGACGCCUACGUGAGGCAGCAGUGGGGAAUAUUGCACAGUGGGCGGAAGCCUGAUGCAGCAACGCCGCGUGCGGGAUGACGGCCUACGGGUUGUAAACCGCUUUAGCCUGUGACGAAGCGUGAGUGACGGUAAUGGGUAAAGAAGCACCGGCUAACUACGUG